rnacentral:rRNA from 1 species
UGGGGAAUAUUGCACAAUGGGGGAAACCCUGAUGCAGCGACGCCGCGUGAGCGAAGAAGGCUUUCGAGUCGUAAAGCUCUGUCCUAUGAGAAGAUAAUGACGGUAUCAUAGGAGGAAGCCCUGGCUAAAUACGAGCCAGCAGCCGCGGUAAUACGUAUGGGGCGAGCGUUGUCCGGAAUUAUUGGGCGUAAAGGGUACGUAGGUGGUUUUUUAAGUCAGGUGUCAAAGCGUGGAGCUUAACUCCAUUAAGCACUUGAAACUGAAAGACUUGAGUGGAGGAGAGGAAAGUGGAAUUCCUAGUGUUGCGGUGGAAUGCGUAGGUAUUAGGGGGAAUACCGGUGGGGGAGGAGGCUUUCUCGACUUUAACUGACGCCCAGGUACGAAAGCGGGGGGGGGAAACAAG